UAACCAGGAAUGCAAAGAGCUUAUCACCUCAUUAUUUACAACAGUGAAAAUGGAAAAAACGGAGUCUCACUCUGUCACCCAGGCUGGAGUUCAGUGGUCUGAUCUCAGUUCAGUGGUCUGAGCCUCCGCCUCCUGGGUUCAAGCAAUUCUCCUGCCUUAGCCUCCUGAGUAGCUGGAAUUACAGCAUUAUUCACAAUAACCAAGAUAUAGAAUCAACCUGUGUUCCUCAAUGGAUUAAUAGAUAAAGAAAAUGUGAUAAAUAUACACAAUGGAAUAUGAUUCAGCUUUAAAAAAGAAGAUGCUUUCAUGUGUGACAACAUGGAUGAACCCAGAGGACAUUAUGCUAAGUAAAAUAAGCUAGGCAGAGAAAGACAAAUACUGCACGAUCUCAUUGACAUGUGGACUCUAAAACAGUUGAACUCAUAAAAACAGGGAGUAGAAUGGUAGUUUCUAGGGGCUGGAGGUGGAGGGGAAUGGAGAUGUUGGUCAAAGGGCACAAAGUGUCACUUAGGAUGAAUAAGUUGCAGCAAUCUAUUGUAUAACAUAAUGACUAUAGUUAAUAAUAAUGCAUCGUACACUUGAAAAUUGCUAAGAGAGUAGAUCUUAAAUGUUCUCACCAUGAAAGAAAUGAUAAGUAUUGAAGUGAUAAAUAUUUUAAUCAGCUUGGUUUAAUCAUUUCCCAAUGUAUGAAAACAUCAUAUUGUACGCCGUAAAUGCACAUACUUUUAUGAGUUAAAUAUACUUCAAUAAAGCUGAAAAAAGAUUAACAUCAAUAGUAGUAAGUCAUAUUGAUAGCAUAUACCCUCUAAUGAGGUGACAAGAAUGGAACUCUACCUCUGUUUUUUUCCCUAAAACAUAUUACCCCUGUGUAAUCAUGAAAAAAAUGUCAAAAAAAUUCCAACUGAGGGAUCUGCCACAAAAAACCUGAUCACUAUGCCUUGAAACUAUCAAAGACAUCACAAACAAGGGAAGUCUGAGAAACUGUCACAACCAAGAGGAGCCUAAAGAGACAUGAAUGUAAUGUGGCGUCCCGGAUGGGAUCCUGGAACAGGAAAAAGACACUAAAGAAAAACUGGGAAAAAAGUAUGGAUUUUAGUUAUGAAUUAUUUAUAAAUAUUGAGUUUAUUCAUUGUGAUAAAUGUACUAUACUAUCAGACAUAAAUACUAAGAAAAACUGAGUGUGGAGUAUCUGAAAACUUUUUGUACUAUCUUUGCAACUUUUCUGUAAAUCUAAAACUGUUCUAAAAUAUAACUUUAUUAAAAAUGGCAAUGAUAAACUCAUCGA
rnacentral:lncRNA from 1 species